rnacentral:rRNA from 1 species
GAGCGUAUCCGGGAUUUAUUGGGUUAAAGGGAGCGUAGGUGGACAGUUAAGUCAGUGUGAAAAGUUUGCGGCUCAACCGUAAAAUUGCAGUUGAUACUGGCUGUCUUGAGUACAGUAGAGGUGGGCGGAAUUCGUGGUGUAGCGGUGAAAUGCUUAGAUAUCACGAAGAACUCCGAUUGCGAAGGCAGCUCACUGGACUGCAACUGACACUGAUGCUCGAAAGUGUGGGUAUCAAACAGGAUUAGAUACCCUGGUAGUCCACACAGUAAACGAUGAAUACUCGCUGUUUGCGAUAUACAGUAAGCGGCCAAGCGAAAGCAUUAAGUAUUCCACCUGGGGAGUACGCCGGCAACGGUGAAACUCAAAGGAAUUGACGGGGGCCCGCACAAGCGGAGGAACAUGUGGUUUAAUUCGAUGAUACGCGAGGAACCUUACCCGGGCUUAAAUUGCAUUUGAAUAUAUUGGAAACAGUAUAGCCGUAAGGCAAAUGUGAAGGUGCUGCAUGGUUGUCGUCAGCUCGUGCCGUGAGGUGUCGGCUUAAGUGCCAUAACGAGCGCAACCCUUAUCUUUAGUUACUAACAGGUCAUGCUGAGGACUCUAGAGAGACUGCCGUCGUAAGAUGUGAGGAAGGUGGGGAUGACGUCAAAUCAGCACGGCCCUUACGUCCGGGGCUACACACGUGUUACAAUGGGGGGUACAGAAGGCAGCUACCUGGUGACAGGAUGCUAAUCCCAAAAGCCUCUCUCAGUUCGGAUCGAAGUCUGCAACCCGACUUCGUGAAGCUGGAUUCGCUAGUAAUCGCGCAUCAGCCAUGGCGCGGUGAAUACGUUCCCGGGCCUUGUACACACCGCCCGUCAAGCCAUGAAAGCCGGGGGUACCUGAAGUACGUAACCGCAAGGAGCGUCCUAGGGUAAAC